GACCGCACGGGAUAAUCAUUUUCGCGUGCGGUCGGGUUAGGUGGACCGUACAGAAUAAUCGGUUAUCCCGUGCGGUC
rnacentral:pre_miRNA from 19 species